rnacentral:ncRNA from 1 species
GUGAUGGCUAUGACGAAGAGAAGUAGCUGUAUCUUGGCACUAAAGAGAGCCGGUGGUUGGUGAAAACCGGUGUGCGGGAACAGUGAAUGGGCUUCCGAGCUUCCAAACCGAACCUUGCUGAGGGCAGGCAGUAGGCUUUGGCGUAUUCUCGGCGUUAUAACGAGACGGGCAUUAAGCAUUGGCGCUUGUUGCCGGCAAAGUGGGCUGUGCAAACAGCUAAUAAAGGUGGUACCACGGGUUUCCUCGUCCUUUGG